GAUGAACGCUAGCUACAGGCUUAACACAUGCAAGUCGAGGGGCAGCAUGUCGGUUGCUUGCAACCGAUGAUGGCGACCGGCGCACGGGUGAGUAACGCGUAUCCAACCUACCCUUGUCCAUCGGAUAACCCGUCGAAAGGCAGCCUAACACGAUAUGCGGUUCACAGCAGGCAUCUAACGUGAACGAAAUGUGAAGGAGAAGGAUGGGGAUGCGUCUGAUUAGCUUGUUGGCGGGGUAACGGCCCACCAAGGCUACGAUCAGUAGGGGUUCUGAGAGGAAGGUCCCCCACAUUGGAACUGAGACACGGUCCAAACUCCUACGGGAGGCAGCAGUGAGGAAUAUUGGUCAAUGGACGAGAGUCUGAACCAGCCAAGUAGCGUGCAGGAUGACGGCCCUAUGGGUUGUAAACUGCUUUUAUAGGGGGAUAAAGUGUGCCACGUGUGGCAUAUUGCAGGUACCCUAUGAAUAAGGACCGGCUAAUUCCGUGCCAGCCGCCGCGGUAACAC
rnacentral:rRNA from 1 species